rnacentral:rRNA from 1 species
CAAGUCGAACGAUGAACCACUUCGGUGGGGAUUAGUGGCGAACGGGUGAGUAACACGUGGGCAAUCUGCCCUGCACUCUGGGACAAGCCCUGGAAACGGGGUCUAAUACCGGAUACUGACCCUCGCGGGCAUCUGCGAGGUUCGAAAGCUCCGGCGGUGCAGGAUGAGCCCGCGGCCUAUCAGCUUGUUGGUGAGGUAAUGGCUCACCAAGGCGACGACGGGUAGCCGGCCUGAGAGGGCGACCGGCCACACUGGGACUGAGACACGGCCCAAACUCCUACGGGAGGCAGCAGUGGGGAAUAUUGCACAAUGGGCGAAAGCCUGAUGCAGCGACCCCGCGUGAGGGAUGACGGCCUUCGGGUUGUAAACCUCUUUCAGCAGGGAAGAAGCGAAAGUGACGGUACCUGCAGAAGAAGCGCCGGCUAACUACGUGCCAGCAGCCGCGGUAAUACGUAGGGCGCAAGCGUUGUCCGGAAUUAUUGGGCGUAAAGAGCUCGUAGGCGGCUUGUCACGUCGGUUGUGAAAGCCCGGGGCUUAACCCCGGGUCUGCAGUCGAUACGGGCAGGCUAGAGUUCGGUAGGGGAGAUCGGAAUUCCUGGUGUAGCGGUGAAAUGCGCAGAUAUCAGGAGGAACACCGGUGGCGAAGGCGGAUCUCUGGGCCGAUACUGACGCUGAGGAGCGAAAGCGUGGGGAGCGAACAGGAUUAGAUACCCUGGUAGUCCACGCCGUAAACGGUGGGCACUAGGUGUGGGCAACAUUCCACGUUGUCCGUGCCGCAGCUAACGCAUUAAGUGCCCCGCCUGGG